rnacentral:rRNA from 1 species
UACAAGAACGCCCGGGCUUCGGCCUGGUUAUUCAUAACCCUUUGUUGUCCGACUCUGUUGCCUCCGGGGCGACCCUGCCUUCGGGCGGGGGCUCCGGGUGGACACUUCAAACUCUUGCGUAACUUUGCAGUCUGAGUAAACUUAAUUAAUAAAUUAAAACUUUUAACAACGGAUCUCUUGGUUCUGGCAUCGAUGAAGAACGCAGCGAAAUGCGAUAAGUAAUGUGAAUUGCAGAAUUCAGUGAAUCAUCGAAUCUUUGAACGCACAUUGCGCCCCCUGGUAUUCCGGGGGGCAUGCCUGUUCGAGCGUCAUUUCACCACUCAAGCCUCGCUUGGUAUUGGGCAACGCGGUCCGCCGCGUGCCUCAAAUCGUCCGGCUGGGUCUUCUGUCCCCUAAGCGUUGUGGAAACUAUUCGCUAAAGGGUGUUCGGGAGGCUACGCCGUAAAACAACCCCAUUUCUAAGGUUGACCUCGGAUCAGGUAGGGAUACCCGCUGAACUUAAGCAUAUCAAUAAGCGGAGGAAAAGAAACCAACAGGGAUUGCUCUAGUAACGGCGAGUGAAGCAGCAAUAGCUCAAAUUUGAAAUCUGGGGUCUUCGACGUCCGAGUUGUA